rnacentral:rRNA from 1 species
UACGUAGGGAGCAAGCGUUGUCCGGAAUCAUUGGGCGUAAAGCGCGCGUAGGUGGCCACAUAAGUCCGUUGUGAAAGUCAAAGGCUCAACCUUUGAAAGCCGAUGGAUACUGUGUGGCUAGAGUACGGAAGAGGCGAGUGGAAUUCCUGGUGUAGCGGUGGAAUGCGCAGAUAUCAGGAGGAACACCAAUAGCGAAGGCAGCUCGCUGGGACGGUACUGACGCUAAGGCGCGAAAGCGUGGGGAGCGAACAGG